rnacentral:rRNA from 1 species
GAGUUUGAUCCUGGCUCAGAACGAACGCUGGCGGCAGGCCUAACACAUGCAAGUCGAACGAAGUCUUCGGACUUAGUGGCAGACGGGUGAGUAACGCGUGGGAACCUACCUGGAGGUUCGGAAUAACUCGGGGAAACUCGGGCUAAUACCGGAUACGCCCUUACGGGGAAAGAUUUAUCGCCUUUAGAUGGGCCCGCGUUGGAUUAGCUUGUUGGUGAGGUAAAAGCUCACCAAGGCGACGAUCCAUAGCUGGUCUGAGAGGAUGAUCAGCCACACUGGGACUGAGACACGGCCCAGACUCCUACGGGAGGCAGCAGUGAGGAAUAUUCGGCAAUGGGCGCAAGCCUGACCGAGCCAUGCCGCGUGAGUGAAGAAGGCCCUAGGGUUGUAAAGCUCUUUCACCGAUGAAGAUAAUGACGGUAGUCGGAGAAGAAGCCCCGGCUAACUUCGUGCCAGCAGCCGCGGUAAUACGAAGGGGGCUAGCGUUGUCCGGAAUUACUGGGCGUAAAGCGCAAGUAGGCGGAUUGUUUAGGUCAGGGGUGAAAUCCCCGGGGCUCAACCCCGGAACUUGCCUCUGAUACUGGGCAAUCUCGAGUUCGAAGAGAGGUGAGUG